rnacentral:tmRNA from 1 species
GGGGGCGAUCGGCUUCGACCGGAUGCCGACUCGACCUGGGUGGCGCGCCGAGGGCCGGGCACCUCGUGAAUCCGACCGGAAGAAACCAAGUGCCAACACGCACUACUCCCUCGCCGCCUGAUAACUAGGUGACGACGCCGGGGUCCCCUCGCCUGCGGGGGAUCCGGGCGACACACAGCAGGCUGGUCGUGUGGUGGCUGCUCGGCCCAUCCAUGGCGAGACACAGUCGAGCUGGCCAGCGUCGAUCCUGUCUGUCGGAGCGGCGCUGGUGAGACCAAUCGACGGGCUACGCGCGUAGAGGCUCAGGACGGAGCAUCUCGGGACGCGGGUUCGAUUCCCGCCGCCUCCACCA